rnacentral:rRNA from 1 species
AUUGAACGCUGGCGGCAGGCCUAACACAUGCAAGUCGAGCGGAGCGGCGGACGGGUGAGUAAUGCCUAGGAAUCUGCCUGGUAGUGGGGGAUAAAGUCCGGAAACGGGCGCUAAUACCGCAUACUAUCAGAUGAGCCUAGGGCGGAUUAGCUAGUUGGUGGGGUAAAGGCCUACCAAGGCGACGAUCCGUAACUUGUCUGAGAGGAUGAUCAGUCAAACUGGAAAUGAGACAAGGUCCAGACUCCUACGGGGGGCAGCAGUUGGGAAUAUUGGACAAUUGGCGAAAGGCUUAUUCCGCCAUGCCGCGGGUGUGAAGAAGGUCUUCGGAUUGGAAAGCACUUUAAGUUGGGAGGCGUUACCAACAGAGUAAGCACCGGCUAACUUCGUGCCAGCAGCCGCGGUAAUAC